GCCUAUUUGAACAAGGAAACAACCUAAACUAAUGGGUUAAUUCUGCAACAACGUACCAAAGUGGGCCUAAAAGCAGCCACCUUUAAUAAUAGCGUCAAAGCUUUUCUACACACGCAUACCAAUUUCUCAACCCAAUCUUAACCCUUUAUCUCCAUCGAGUAAUUCUAUACCCCUAUAGAAUAUAAAAUGUUAAAACUAGUAACAAGAAGAAAGCCCUUCUCUCAAAUGUCCAUAUAAGCCAGAAAGGAUAAACCACUGUCAAUUAACACUAAUGACUUUUAAUUAGUAACACCACAAGAAAACCCUAAUAAAACAAGUGUUAAACUAACACAAGAACAUUUCAAGAAAGAUUAAAAGAAAAAGAAGGAACUCGGCAAACACCAACCCCGCCUGUUUACCAAAAACAUCGCCUCUUGAUAAAUAUAAGAGGUCCAGCCUGCCCAGUGACCUAGUUCAACGGCCGCGGUAUCCUAACCGUGCGAAGGUAGCGUAAUCACUUGUUCUUUAAAUGAGGACUAGUAUGAAUGGCAUCACGAGGGUUACACUGUCUCCUUUUUUUAAUCAGUGAAACUAAUCUUCCCGUGAAGAAGCGGGAAUUUUUUUAUAAGACGAGAAGACCCUAUGGAGCUUUAAACAAAUUAACAUUUGCUGCCUAAAAUACCUUCCCCAGAAACACAACCCACAGCAUAGCAUCAUGAUUAAUAGUUUUAGAUUGGGGUGAUCACGGAGUAAAAAACAACCUCCAUGCCGAAAGGAGUCUUCCUGAGCAAAAAGCCACAACUUUAAGCACUAAAAAAUUAACGUUUAUUGACCCAAUAUUUUGAUCAACGAACCAAGUUACCCUAGGGAUAACAGCGCAAUCCACUUCAAGAGCUCCUAUCGACAAGUGGGUUUACGACCUCGAUGUUGGAUCAGGGUGUCCCAGUGGUGCAGCCGCUACUAACGGUUCGUUUGUUCAACGAUUAAAACCCU
rnacentral:rRNA from 1 species